CCGAGUCUUUACAACUCAUAACCCUUUGUGAACCAUUAUACCUAGUUGCUUCGGCGGCGCGCCUCCGGGCGUGCCCGCCGGCCAAUUAUAGUCUCUUAGUUGUGAAUCGACGUUACAUCUGAGUGUUCUAAGCGAACUGUUA
rnacentral:misc_RNA from 2 species